ensembl:lncRNA
GUUGUCGGUGUUUGAGGUGUUGGAGUUGUUGGCGGUGUUGGAGUUGUUGGAACUGUUUUAGGUGUUGGCUGUGUUGGUAGUGUUGGAGGUGUUGGAGUUGUUGGCGGUGUUGGAGGUGUUGGAGCUGUUUUAGGUGUUUGCAGUGUUGGAGAGGUUGGUGGUGUUGGCAGUGUUGGAGGUGUUGGAACUGUUUUAGGUGUUUGUGGUGUUGAUGGUGUUGGCGGUGUUGGAGGUGUUGGAACUGUUUUAAGUGUUGGCAGUGUUAGAGGUGUUGGCGGUGUUGGAACUGUUUUAGGUGUUGGGGGUGUUGGCAGUGUUGGCGGUGUUGGUGGUGUUGGCAGUGUUGGUUGUGUUGGCAGUGUUGGUUGUGUUGGAGGUGUUGGCUGUGUUGGCGGUGUUUUAGGUGUUGGUAGUGUUGGUGGUGUUGGCAGUGUUGGUUGUGUUGGAACUGUUUUAGGUGUUGGCGGUGUUGGCGGUGUUGGAACUGUUUUAGGUGUUGGCAGUGUUGGAGGUGUUGGCGGUGUUGGAACUGUUUUAGGUGUUGGCAGUGUUGGAGGUGUUGGCGGUGUUGGCAAUGUUGAAGCUGUUUUAGGUGUUGGCAGUGUUGGUGGUGUUGGCAGUGUUGGUUGUG